rnacentral:rRNA from 1 species
UACGAAGGGGGCUAGCGUUGUUCGGAAUUACUGGGCGUAAAGCGCACGUAGGCGGAUAUUUAAGUCAGGGGUGAAAUCCCGGGGCUCAACCCCGGAACUGCCUUUAAGACUGCAUCGCUAGAAUCCAGGAGAGGUGAGUGGAAUUCCGAGUGUAGAGGUGAAAUUCGUAGAUAUUCGGAAGAACACCAGUGGCGAAGGCGACAUACUGGUCCGUUACUGACGCUGAGGCUCGAAAGCAGGGAGCAAACGGG